CUCUCCUUUGUGGAGUUUUUCCUGCAAACCUUGAUCUUUGGGUACAGGGCCAGGGACCUGGAGGCACAAUGGGUUGCUGCUCUCCAUGCUCUGCUGCUCAGGACUGGUUGAUUUGCAAAACAAACCUUAGAUGAUGCUCAGUGCUGCUUCUCCAGCUGAUUGCUGCAUCCUUACAAGUGAGCCCUGCUCACUGGUUUGAAAAUCAUACUUUGUAAGCAUCUACUCCCAGGAGAGGAUUUAAUCCUGAAGGAGUGUGGACUUCUGCCCAAGCUCUGAUGCGUUAUGUCUCAAAGAGAUGGAAGCUUUCAAAUGGAUCCUGAGUUUAAUUUUUCCUGCUGGCUGCCUCUAGAAUGCUCCUCUUGCAUCUUGAUGCAUCUUGUUAUUCUGACUUCUGGUCUUUUAAAGGGUUCUCAGUACUCAAGCAGGAGUUGAGUUUGGCAGGCAUCUAAACAUGGAGUGCUGUGCUUUUUACGAAGAUACCACCAUAUCCCUUAUUUAAUCUAUCGUAGGUAGCUUGAUAUGUAUAUUUAGAGACCUAAGUCAAAGAUAGGACUUUUGCCCAAUGAUUUCAUGUGUGACUUUUAGAACAUGUGACCUAAAUCCAUUCAGUAUCUCAGCCUAUCAUCUGUUUUCUUGGAUACCCUGCUGUUUAUCGUGCCUGGCUCCCAUCUCAAAUUUUUCAGUUUGGAUUGCAAGCUGCUUUAGAUAGAGAUCAUAUUUUUCUGCUUGUCACAUGUUUAACACACAGUGAAGUUCUGUCCCCAAAUCUAUAACUAGUAUCAGAGCUAAUUCUCCAGAGGCAGAGGAUAAGGCCACAAAGGUUGCUGGAGUUCAGGUCUUUUGCCUUUAAAAUUUUUUUUAGGAGGGACCGAAAGCACUGCUUUUUGGAGAAACCAGCUCAUUUUCUAUGAUAGUAGUCAGUCCCAAAAAAUAUAUGUAAAUAGCUUGAAAAAACACCUCAAAUAUCUUGUUGCCAGCAGCUUUAUGAAGGCUCCUGUCCCUGUGCUGGUUCAUAUAUGCAGAUGCGGCACUUGGUGCCUCUCAGAUUGCUUGUCAUUUUAUGUAGAGACUCAGUCUAGCUGCUGUGCUUUCUCUGCAGUCAUAGCCUUAAAGAGCUGGUGAUGCACCACCGGCGAUAACCUCAGCAGCGUUCCAGGGAGAAGCUGUCAGGAUUUUGUUUUCACCUUUUUCUGACUAACUGCAACAUCAGAGUAUUUUACAGAACUUCUGUGGCUAUUCUCUUGAUAAGCAUCAAGGUUUACAGUGAUGAAUAAGUGAGUCAUUCAUUAGUGCAAUAUUUUAAUAAGCUUUUCUCUGAUCCGCCUUAAUGUGAAUCAGAAAGUUAUGAUUGCACUGUACGCUAAACUGAGACCCAGUCACCUCGUGUUUGAAAGUAUCACUUUGUUCUUUCACUCAGGCAUUAAUUUUGGUUUAUCUGUGGAAAUUCAGCAUUUGCAGUACAUGCUCUGUGGAAUUUGUGUAGAA